rnacentral:rRNA from 1 species
CAGUCGCCGCGGGAAUACGUAGGUGGCAAGCGUUGUCCGGAAUUAUUGGGCGUAAAGGGCACGCAGGCGGUUUCUUAAGUCUGAUGUGAAAGCCCCCGGCUCAACCGGGGAGGGUCAUUGGAAACUGGGAAACUUGAGUGCAGAAGAGGAGAGUGGAGUUCCACGUGUAGCGGUGAAAUGCGUAGAGAUGUGGAGGAACACCAGUGGCGAAGGCGACUCUCUGGUCUGUAACUGACGCUGAGGAGCGAAAGCGUGGGGAGCAAACAGGAUUAGAUACCCCCGUAGUCCCUGUCUCUUAUAA